AUUUCUUCUUGGUCUUUUGGCUAAGAUCAAGUGCAGUAUCUGUUCUUAGCAGUUUAAUAUCUGAUAAAUUUUCUAUCUGAGGACAAUAAGUUAAAUGGAUUUUUGAAACUAGGAGAUGGAAUUGGAGCUUGGUCCGUCCACUCCACAGAUCAACCUGGUAUUGCAAUAUUUCUAGGAGCCAUAUACUGCUC